GGGGAUGUCAAACCCAAUUUUUAGAUGCAGCACUGACUCGUUUCAGCAGGUGACUCAAGCCUUCAGAAGGAGCUCCUUGGGUCAACCCAAUAAAACAUCAUCCAUGUAGUUCUUCGCAACUACAAAAUGGAAAAGGAAGUCACAAGAAGUAGGAAAUGGGCGAAAUUAGUAUUGACUUACCUUGUGAGCUGAUAGAAGUUCCCCCACUCCAUGUUUGUAGGAAUUUCAUCUUCAUGAUGCGAAGCAAGAGCAAAGAGAGGGAGAAGGGAGCUGGGAAAUUG
rnacentral:lncRNA from 1 species